rnacentral:tRNA from 1 species
GCCUUUGUGGUGUAGUGGUCAGCACGUCCGACGCGUAACUUUGAGAUCCAGGGUUCGAUUCCUGGCGAAGGCA